GACGAACGCUGGCGGCGUGCUUAACACAUGCAAGUCGAACGGAAAGGCCCCCUUGUGGGGUACUCGAGUGGCGAACGGGUGAGUAACACGCGAGUAACCUACCCUUGACUUUGGGAUAACUUCAGGAAACUGGGGCUAAUACCGGAUAGGAGCUCCUGCUGCAUGGUGGGGGUUGGAAAGUUUCGGCGGUUGGGGAUGGACUCGCGGCUUAUCAGCUUGUUGGUGGGGUAGUGGCUCACCAAGGCUUUGACGGGUAGCCGGCCUGAGAGGGUGACCGGCCACAUUGGGACUGAGGUACGGCCCAGACUCCUACGGGAGGCAGCAGUGGGGAAUAUUGCACAAUGGGCGGAAGCCUGAUGCAGCAACGCCGCGUGCGGGAUGACGGCCUUCGGGUUGUAAACCGCUUUCGCCUGUGACGAAGCGUGAGUGACGGUAAUGGGUAAAGAAGCACCGGCUAACUACGUG
rnacentral:rRNA from 1 species